rnacentral:tRNA from 1 species
GCCGACGUAGCUCAGCUGGUAGAGCAUUUCCAUGGUAAGGAAAAGGUCACCGGUUCAAUCCCGGUCGUCGGCUCCA